rnacentral:rRNA from 1 species
UACAGAGGGUGCUAGCGUUGUUCGGAAUCAUUGGGCGUAAAGGGCGUGUAGUCGGUUUGUUAAGUCAUGUGUGAAAUCCCUCGGCUCAACCGGGGAACGACGCAUGAAACUGGCAAGCUAGAGUACCAAAGAGGGGGGUGGAAUUCCCAGUGUAGCGGUGAAAUGCGUAGAUAUUGGGAGGAACACCGGUGGCGAAGGCGGCCCCCUGGACCGGUACUGACGCUGAGGCGCGAAAGCGUGGGGAGCGAACAGG